rnacentral:rRNA from 1 species
AGUGAACGCUGGCGGUAGGCCUAACACAUGCAAGUCGAACGGCAGCACAGUAAGAGCUUCCUCUUACGGGUGGCGAGUGGCGGACGGGUGAGGAAUACAUCGGAAUCUACUUUUUCGUGGGGGAUAACGUAGGGAAACUUACGCUAAUACCGCAUACGACCUACGGGUGAAAGCAGGGGAUCUUCGGACCUUGCGCGAUUGAAUGAGCCGAUGUCGGAUUAGCUAGUUGGCGGGGUAAAGGCCCACCAAGGCGACGAUCCGUAGCUGGUCUGAGAGGAUGAUCAGCCACACUGGAACUGAGACACGGUCCAGACUCCUACGGGAGGCAGCAGUGGGGAAUAUUGGACAAUGGGCGCAAGCCUGAUCCAGCCAUACCGCGUGGGUGAAGAAGGCCUUCGGGUUGUAAAGCCCUUUUGUUGGGAAAGAAAAGCAGCAGGUUAAUACCCCGCUGUUCUGACGGUACCCAAAGAAUAAGCACCGGCUAACUUCG